rnacentral:rRNA from 1 species
CCUACGGGGUGCAGCAGUGGGGAAUAUUGGACAAUGGGCGAAAGCCUGAUCCAGCCAUGCCGCGUGUGUGAAGAAGGCCUUCGGGUUGUAAAGCACUUUCAGUGGGGAAGAAAGCCUUGGGGCUAAUACCCUCGAGGAAGGACAUCACCCACAGAAGAAGCACCGGCUAACUCCGUGCCAGCAGCCGCGGUAAUACGGAGGGUGCGAGCGUUAAUCGGAAUUACUGGGCGUAAAGCGCGCGUAGGCGGUCUGAUAAGCCGGUUGUGAAAGCCCCGGGCUCAACCUGGGAACGGCAUCCGGAACUGUCAGGCUAGAGUGCAGGAGAGGAAGGUAGAAUUCCCGGUGUAGCGGUGAAAUGCGUAGAGAUCGGGAGGAAUACCAGUGGCGAAGGCGGCCUUCUGGACUGACACUGACGCUGAGGUGUGAAAGCGUGGGUAGCAAACAGGAUUAGAUACCCGGGUAGUC